rnacentral:rRNA from 1 species
AGAGUUUGAUCCUGGCUCAGAAUCAACGCUGGCGGCGUGCCUAAUACAUGCAAGUCGAACGCGAAGACCCCGCAAGGGGUGUAUAGCGUGGCAAACGGGUGAGUAACGCGUGGGCGACCUACCCUCGAGUGGGGGACAACCUUCCGAAAGGAGGGCUAAUACCGCAUGACAUGCUCCGUUUAGAUACGGGGACAUCAAAGCCGGGGAUCGCAAGACCUGGCGCUUGAAGAGGGGCCUACGUCCGAUUAGCUAGUUGGUGGGGUAAUGGCUCACCAAGGCGACGAUCGGUAUCCGGCCUGAGAGGGCGGACGGACACACUGGGACUGAGACACGGCCCAGACUCCUACGGGAGGCAGCAGUAGGGAAUUGUUCGCAAUGGGCGCAAGCCUGACGACGCAACGCCGCGUGGAGGAUGAAGACCUUCGGGUCGUAAACUCCUUUCGACCGAGAUGAACACCUUUCGACCUAAUACGUUGAAAGGCUGACAGUAUCGAGGGAAGCAGCCCCGGCUAACUCCGUGCCAGCAGCCGCGGUAAUACGGGGGGGGCAAGCGUUGUUCGGAAUUACUGGGCGUAAAGGGUUCGUAGGUGGCCAACUCAGUCAGACGUGAAAUCCCUCAGCUCAACUGGGGAACUGCGUCUGAUACUAGAUGGCUUGAGUGCAGGAGAGGAACGCGGAAUUCCAGUGUAGCGGUGAAAUGCGUAGAUAUCUGGAGGAACACCGGUGGCGAAAGCGGCGUUCUGGACUGCAACUGACACUGAGGAACGAAAGCCAGGGGAGCAAACUGGAUUAGAUACCCCGGUAGUCCUGGCCCUAAACGAUGAAUGCUUGGUGUGGCGGGUAUCGAUCCCUGCCGUGCCGAAGUUAACGCGUUAAG